ensembl:snoRNA
AGGAAUGAUGAUUUCUCAGCCUAGAGCCUCUAACGCUUGUUCUGAUAUCAAAAAUUAAGUUGCGAUUC